ensembl:lincRNA
AUGAGAUCUAAUGAGAUGUUACACAUGAAGACCAGAGCAGAGAGCCUGACACAGGCCUUUCUUCACACUUUGCCCUCUGGGCAGGAAGGCUUCUUCACGUCACAUUUCCACGGGCUGGAGUCCCACCCACCCCUCCUGCACGGUCCUCGUCAUCCCACUGCAGUUAGUCUGUGGCGCUUCUCCUCGGUGUCAGACAGCAGAGUUCAACAAUCCAAGGAGUACUUGGUGUCACCAACCUACAAGUGCCAAGACAACCCAGCAAAAGCUGAACUGCCCGGUGUCAAGCUGGGCAGUGUUCGCAUGUGCAGAGCACCUGUAAAUCUUACCCCAGAUACAGACAACCUGGCUGACCCCAGAAGGGGUUUUCCCCAGGGAGGGGAAAAAAAAAUCUCCCUACCAAUAUGAAGUUGUCAUCCUUUCCUGCUACAUGACCCGCAAGAAAUUCUGAUAAAAGUGACUUAAUUCAUGGUAAGUACUUAACACACGUCAAGCAUGCAACAGAGCCAAUUUUACUCAACUACAACUCUUCUAGUAGGUGUGGCAUUCAGUGGGUUCGGUGGGUGUUCAGAACCCAACAAAUACAUAAAACUGAAGUUUAAAGAAAUUCCAAGGCAGGAGGAUUGCAAGUUUGAGCCCAGGCAAUGUAACAACUUAGCAAGACUUUGUCUCAAAAAAAAAAAAAAAAAAAGGGAAAAGGGGCAAAGGGGCAGCGGGAAGAGGGGUGAGCCAGGGAUGCAGCUCAGGACAAAGGUCCUGAGUCCAAUCCCCAGUAUCACAAAAAACAAACAAACCCCCAAAAUUAUCUUGUAUUCUUCAGAGAAAAGAUGCUGCACAUUAUGAUGCGAUACAGGUAUGAGGCAAAAAUUAACGCUUUCUAGGUUGGCUCAAAGUCACUUUGCCAUUAUUUUAAAGCCUACAAUUUCUAGCCAAGCCAGAUCCUACAGGAACUCCAGCAGUGGUUAUAGAUCUGGCAUCUGCCCAUCAUGACUGGAGAGCCACGCAGUUGAGGAUCUUUUCAGGGAACCCUAAUAAGUGAGAUUUUAUCACAGCACUGUUGACCCCAAAUUAACAAGAAAGGAGUGGUUCUAGAGGCAGCCUACUGCUUCCAUUCACCAAGGUUAGCUGUUAUUGUUAAGCAGACUAGGAUACUCUGGGGAGUAACUAGUAUCUUAUUAAGUUAUAAAUACACUUAAUGACUUUAGUACUGGUUUUUUAUUUUUGGAAUAUGAGGAAGAAAAAAUAGAAACUCAUAGUCACUAGAGUCUAAGUAAAAGGCCACUAUUUUUUAUAAUAUGUAUUUACCUACAAUAUUGCUUAUGAAUUAUGUUUUUAUAGAGCCUGAAUGCUCCUUCAAAGGACAACUGUAACUCUCUUGUAACUGCAUCCAGCCACUUAGAAGGUUCUACUGGUUUAUCUGCUUGGAAAGAUUACAAGUGGUAGAAGAUCUGAAAAUCAUAUUGCUUGGUUUGAUUCAAACUAGUCAAACCAGUUCAGAAAAGACUAAAAGACCAAGAGAUUUUUCUCUCCACCCCCAUCUGCCUUUGUGGUUUCUUUUUUUUUUUUUUUUUGGUACUGGGGAUUGAACUCAGGACCUUGUGUUUGCCAGGCAGACAGUGGAACCACUGAGCUGAAUCCCCAGCCCUGCGGUGUCCCCUUAAGAGAAACCAAUGCCCAUUUUAAUUCACUGAACUUUAGAUUUUUUUUUUUUUUUUUUUUUUUUG